ensembl:lncRNA
AAGCUGCUGUUGUAGUUACGCUGCUACUUCGCUUCCUGUAAAACAGGAAUGGCCAGAGAGAGAGUGGAAAAUGAUCAUGAACAAUGAAACUAUCAUUGUUUUUGGCGCAAAACAACUUUGGCUAACGUGUGAACCAGAAACUGAUUUCUUUGGCAACACAGUGAAUAUUUUUAAUUAACACUGAUUAAAAUACACUCUGUCAGCAUUUACAAUCAAAAUCAUGUACAGCUGUUACUGUUUCUCGUAUAGUUAAGUUCUCCAGUUGCCUGACCGAACUGGAUCUCAGUGAGAAUCACAUUGGAGAAGAUGGCGCAAAAGUGUUUUUAGAGGCCCUGAGAGAGAGACAAGCAACUAAACUAUCUCCAAUAAAAAUCCAGGUUUCAACACGCAUCUCCACAGAAACAUUCAGGGCCAUUUUGAAAAGUGCAAAGGAGCUUAAAUCUGGGAAAAAGAGAAGAAAGACUAAG